rnacentral:tRNA from 1 species
ACUGACCUAGCUCAGUCAGUAAAGAAUCUGCCUGCAAUGCAGGAGAUCAGGGUUCAAUCCCUGGGUCAGGA